CAGUCGCCGCGGGAAUACGAAGGGGGCUAGCGUUGCUCGGAAUUACUGGGCGUAAAGGGCGCGUAGGCGGACAUUUAAGUCAGAGGUGAAAGCCCAGGGCUCAACCUUGGAACUGCCUUUGAUACUGGGUGUCUAGAGUGCGGGAGAGGUGUGUGGAACUCCGAGUGUAGAGGUGAAAUUCGUAGAUAUUCGGAAGAACACCAGUGGCGGAGGCGACACACUGGCCCGUAACUGACGCUGAGGCGCGAAAGCGUGGGGAGCAAACAGGAUUAGAUACCCCUGUAGUCCCUGUCUCUUAUAC
rnacentral:rRNA from 1 species